rnacentral:rRNA from 1 species
GACGAACGCUGGCGGCGUGCCUAAUACAUGCAAGUUGAGCGCUGAAGGUUGGUACUUGUACCAACUGGAUGAGCAGCGAACGGGUGAGUAACGCGUGGGGAAUCUGCCUUUGAGCGGGGGACAACAUUUGGAAACGAAUGCUAAUACCGCAUAAAAACUUUAAACACAAGUUUUAAGUUUGAAAGAUGCAAUUGCAUCACUCAAAGAUGAUCCCGCGUUGUAUUAGCUAGUUGGUGAGGUAAAGGCUCACCAAGGCGAUGAUACAUAGCCGACCUGAGAGGGUGAUCGGCCACAUUGGGACUGAGACACGGCCCAAACUCCUACGGGAGGCAGCAGUAGGGAAUCUUCGGCAAUGGACGAAAGUCUGACCGAGCAACGCCGCGUGAGUGAAGAAGGUUUUCGGAUCGUAAAACUCUGUUGGCAGAGAAGAACGUUGGUGAGAGUGGAAAGCUCAUAAAGUGACGGUAACUACCCAGAAAGGGACGGCUAACUACGUG